rnacentral:lncRNA from 1 species
GAUCCCUGGAUGACCCACUGACCUGAUCACCAGUGACCUUGAAUCUACUCACAUUCUUACCUUGUUCUACUUUCUCAUCAAAGAGCCGAAAUGGCUAAAAAGGUAAGCCACUGAAACCUCUGCCUACUGAGAGUGCUCCUCUUUACUGCUCUUUUGGGGUCAUACUGUAGUGGAUCUAUAGUCAGGAGCAGUUUGUUUCAUCCAUGCCAAGCAACCACAUUCAUGAAAUAAGCUUGGGUCUCCUCCUUCCCACUGCAUGAAUGUGCUUCAAGGAUGGACAGCAUAGGUCUGGGCUUCCUGACUGUUUGCAUUGCUGUGACCUUCAUCCCCGUUAAUAAUGAUUUGAAAUUAACCCCUUUUAUCUUCCUUUGGGUUUUGGUUGAGACAAUGGGCAGUUCUGGAUGAAUCAUAAUUAAGGUACUGGGCCAUGUGGUACAUGUGUAUUUGAGUGUGUGCAUAUGUGUGUGCACAUAGAUCAAAACUGAGUGUCUUCCUUAAUGACUCGUCUCCUUAUUCACUGAGGCAGUAUCUCUCACUUGGACCCACUGCUUGCUGAUUAGGCUAAUCCAGCUAGCCAUCUUGAUCGAGAGAUAGAAGCAAACACAAAACGCUUCAAAGCAAAACGCUGUCUCUUGAGCCGUUCCCAGCAUUGACACCACUUCCACAGGGAAGAUGUUUCCAUGCUGUGCCUUCGCUUCCUUGAGCAACCACAGGGAGAGGAUUGAGGACUUGCACCAGUGUCUCUUCUAGCCUUCCCUGCUGCAGCCCCGGUGAGGUAUGAAUUGUCAGGCUGCUCUUACACUAGGGGCCGUUCUGAAUGUUCCCAGUAUCUCUUCAUAUUAAUUUAUAGUAACACACAUCUUCAUCCGAGGUUUGGGAAUGAGCCUCAGGAAACUGCAUUGCCUUGUACAGCGAGUCCCAUGGAUUGACCAUUUGUUAAGCGAGUAAAUGACUGAAUGCAGGGAUCGUCUCCCCACGAGGAGACUACACACACACACACACACACACACACACACACACACACACAGAGAGGGAAGGAGGGGGAGAGGGAGGGGGAGGGAGAGGGAGAGGGAGGGAGAGGGAGAGGGAAUGAGAGAGAGAGAGGGAAUUUGAAGUCUGGAGCUGGUGUUGUCACACUGCGGUGAGACGCUGAUUGAGCUUGUAAAUGUGCAGAUGGACCUGUUCUUAUCUCGGAAUAGAACUUACAGUGUUUACCUGCAUACUACCUUUCUCUGCAGAGCUGCCAUUUUGGUAGUAACAGUCCUUUCCUGUACAGUGUCACCAUCCCCUUCCUAAGGAGACACCACUGAAACACGUUAUCUUGAAGACUACAGAGGACCUGGAAGAAUGUGCUUUAUAAACACAACCAAGGUCAACAUCAGACUGACUCCCACCAACCACUAAACACUGAUUACAGUCACUCAGUGCAUUGGAGUAGACUAGAUGAGGGAAGCAGGGAGAAUGGGCCAUAACAAUGCUUGCCAUCGGAGAUCAAGAGAAGAGUGCCCAGUGCCUGGUCCCGGAAGAUACUUUUGCAGCAUAGUUAUCUUGUUUGAUUCAUGAUGCAGAAUGUAGGGAAGAAAGAAAUGUGACUUAAGAGUGUGGCAGCCCCUCCUUUUCCACAUAUCGUACAUCAUGUGUCACAUUUGUAUCAAUGAAAGUCAGAGUUAAAAUGUAUCUCAGGAGCCAGUUAGCACAGCUUGGUUUUCCCUGAGUUUAUUAUUCUUGUCUGAUGUAUAUGAAUCCCUUAAGGCUAUAUGGCUGUGGUUUGAUGGUCAUGGCUUGGUUCUGGAACAGGAUAGAUUAAACAGCACUGCUCCAGAGAA